ACUUCCCAGUAGCCUCUGCCAAUGGGAAACACUGGUGGGAGCUUGGAAGGAGGGUAGAAGGGAGAAAGAAGCUGAUUUUAUUUCUCCUUCUGCUGAAGUCUCUGGCAGUGGCAGCAGUAGCAGCAGUUGCGGCAAUAGCAGUAGCGGCGGCGGAAACCAACUGUCAGGCCUCCCAGAUAGUAUCAGAAAGCUGAAGAUUUCCAGAUCACUGCAUCCUAACAACACGGUGCCAGAACGCUGAUUCAACUACCCGCUGCCUGUUGAGCAACUCCUACAUGAACUCCUAACUUUAUUUGGUUACAGAGACAGAUUUUAGACUUGUCUCCCAUAUCCUGGCUGGCAUCACCAGCAAUAAAGCCUUUCUUCCUGGCAGUA